rnacentral:rRNA from 1 species
UACAGAGGUCUCAAGCGUUGUUCGGAUUCAUUGGGCGUAAAGGGUGCGUAGGUGGCGCUGUAAGUCGGGUGUGAAAUUUCGGAGCUUAACUCCGAAACUGCAUUCGAUACUGCGGUGCUUGAGGACUGGAGAGGAGACUGGAAUUCAUGGUGUAGCAGUGAAAUGCGUAGAGAUCAUGAGGAAGACCAGUGGCGAAGGCGGGUCUCUGGACAGUUCCUGACACUGAGGCGCGAAAGCGUGGGGAGCGAUCCGG